UUAACCUUUCUAUAAGGCUGUUUUGACUAAUAAAACCUGAUUGAGCCUGUGUUAUCUGAUGUCUCAUCAAUACUCUAAAUCAAACCCUAACAACUGAGUCUCUUCAGGAUCAGGCAUAAAUGCAUAAAAAGGGAAACCAUAUCCAACCAUUUUCUUAGGAUGUUUUUGAAUUUGAGACAGACCUCAGACUUUAUAUAAGAGCAACUCUCACCUGGGUCUUCUGCCAGGUUGAGACUGUCUCUGUUCUCCCAUAUUUUCCUAGCCAUUUCCCAUUACAAGAGAGCUACAAAUCCAAUGUGUUCUUUCUUAAAAUGAGUGGUAGCAUAAUCACCUUUUCUGGAAAUUUGAGAUAAUUUAGUCAUGUGGGGAGUACAGUUUUCAAGGACCUAGAGAAACAAAGGAAUUAAUUCUUUCAUAUAUUCUAGUCAGUCACUUUCUCAUGUUACACCAUGUUGAACAACUCUGUGCCAAAGUAGCAUCUCUAUUGCAAAGUAUUUUUGAUAGAAUAAAAAUUAGCUGAGAGAUUGAAGUAGGAACAGGAGGAAAUUGGUGAAGGAUACACAUUCCCCAUUAUAUCUGAAAAGUUGAGCAGAGAAGGCUAUCACUCCUACCAGUUGCUCACAUACAUCAACUGUAUCAUUUGAUGAUCCACACACAAAUUAACUGAACCAGAUGGAGCGUCAACUGGAAAUAGAUGACCAAAUGACCAAACUGGCUGGAAAGAUAUUAAAGAAAUGAGAAUACAAUUAGUCAUUAUGGUGAUUGACCCAUAAACAACUAUUAGGAUCAGAGGCACUUAGGUUUUAUGGUGAAGGAGCAUUUUACAAAUGUCUAUAAUAGGUAAAUAUGUUGAUUGAUUAGACAGAAAAUAGGACUUUAUUCUACUCUGUACUGAAGAACUCUCCCUGCAUGGGCACUUCCUCAUUGUCACAGGGUGAUAUGGGCCGUUCAAGAGGGAUGGGGACAGAAGGCCAGUGCACCUGAGGCUGGUUAGUUGCCAUCCCCAGCUCCCUCAGUAAGGUUUAAGAAAGGGCCCCAAGUUAGGGGAGGUGGGAAAUCCAGUGAGCUGGAAACUUGGAGAGCCAAGAAGUAACAGGAAAAAAGUACCUGAAGGAAAGCACUAAAUGUGAGGUGCUGGUGAGGAGCUUAGAGGAAAGCUGUUGGUGACAAUUGACAAAAGUUGUGGUCUCCUGAUGAGCAGAAGGCUUGGGCAGAGGCCCCUAGGAAAGGAAAAGAUGUAUCUUGAUCAAGGGAAGAUGAACCUGGAAACAAGAGGGUUGUUGCAAGAGGGUGGAUUCUUCUGAACAGAGGUAGGAUGCCUUAGUAGAUAGCCUGGAGGAAUGGAAUCCUUUGGGCGAAGGACUGUGGGAAGACCAGUCACUCUCAGGCAGGGAGGCCUAGAGAGUGGGACUCUGGAUCAGGGGUAAAAAAGGAACGGGACAAGGUGCUGCUCUUGACUCUUGUGUGGGUGACUUGAAGGUGAUGUCUGUGAAGAGGGGGAGGUGGGGAAACCCCUGCUUUAUCUGCUUUGUGUUUGUUAUGGAGAAUGAUCUCAGUGUAAGGUUUGGGAGAGUCACUGAACUGGUGUAGAUGAAUAAAUUAUGCCCAAAGGAGGGCUUUGUAAUGGACACUGAGAGACUAUACACCUUUCAUGGGCAGAAGAAAGGGGAAACAAAGACAAGCGUGUGUGUCAGGUGGUAGCCUACUGCAGGAAGAUACCAAAGAUAGAGGCCACUUUUGUCAUAUUCAGAUACUGGAGAGCUUAACUUUUGAGGUCUUAACUUUUGUAUUUCCUCAGGUGAAAGAGGAAGUGGUAUGAUUUUGUGGUUUUUUUCAUAAUGUAUUUUUCCCUAGUGUGAACCUGUUUAAGCUUUAUAUGAUAAAAAGUUGGGGGUUUUGUACAUUUAAAACAAAAAGUGGAAGGGCUGGACCCAAAAAAUGAUGCAUACCUGAGUAGGUUGGGUUUUGACCCACAGAGAGCAAUGUUAUAUAUCCACAGAAGAGAAUUAAUCAGAAAUGAACAUCUGAAGCCAUUUACUUAAAUUUGUUUGGCUUUGAGAAUACGUAAGUGUUGGUUUGUAUUUUUUGUUUUGUGGAGUCUGCUUACAGUAUAGUGUGUGGGUUUUUUUCGUUUGUUUUGGUUUUUUUGGCAGGAAUGCAGCAGUCUGGCAUUUGCAUUGUCAAGGAUGAUUUAACCAAAAUAAUCUCCUGAAACAAACCUCAAACUGGGUUUUUGUUUCUACAUCUCAUGCUUGUGGGACCUCUAGUUCCAAAGACCCUGCCCUUGCAUUAGCUUGCCUAACAUUCUCUUCUGGCCUAGAGUCUUCGUCAGCAUAGCCAGGUUAAGCCAAUUACUUCUUGUCCUGCUUUCAGUGGAUAUGGAGAUAACAACUAGAGCUAUUAAAAUGGGGGCCUUAAACUUGUCUCUGUAAAAUGGGCAUGGUAUUACUUAAGCCUCACAACGUCACUGAGAGGAGUAAUUAAUUAUGCAUAUGUGCUUUGAUGUCCUCUGGUGGAAGGUGCUAUUCAAAGUAAUUUGAUUGUAUACUGUUUGUUAAAGUUUAAGUCUUACAACAUUACAAGUCUCUUUUGUCUUUUUGAAUGUGUUCCUGCCACAUAAAAUCCGUAAAG